rnacentral:rRNA from 1 species
UGCCUAGGAAUCUGCCUGGUAGUGGGGGACAACGGUUCGAAAGGAACGCUAAUACCGCAUACGUCCUACGGGAGAAAGCAGGGACCUUCGGGCCUUGCGCUAUCAGAUGAGCCUAGGUCGGAUUNAGCUAGUUGGUGAGGUAAUGGCUCACCAAGGCGACGAUCCGUAACUGGUCUGAGAGGAUGAUCAGUCACACUGGAACUGAGACACGGUCCAGACUCCUACGGGAGGCAGCAGGC